UCAGUCAAUGCGUCGGGCAGCUUCUUCUUCAUGUCCCGCAUAACCGCACGCACAAGUGCAGCCAAGUGAAACGCCAGCCAUAAACAGACUAGCAAACUGCUGCCAUUUACCUAGCCAUUAACCUCUCUUUAAGCACGUCUCUUGGAGUACCAUUCUUCUCCUACACAGCCUCAGACCGACGCCCCGCUCUCCUCUUUCAUCCCACACAAUCACUGGAGCCAUAGACUAACACAACAAACCACACUCGCGAGAACGCCGCCGAACGCCGCCAUCUUUCCCGACAACCCAGGCCACGAGAGGAGGAGCUGCUGCGCCAGGGAGAUCACCAGGAGCAAGGAAGCCAACCCACGGAAGGAGAAGGGAAAUCGUUGAUCAUCCACGACACCUCCGGCAACGCCAUAGACUCCGGCCGCCGACGUCUACCUCAAACUGCGACGAACUCGGGAGUGGCGAGGUUGAACGUGGACAUAACCAGGUUAUUGAGAAAGAAGAAGGAUUCAUCAACGAAGGCAUGCCCUCUCAUCAUAUUUUAUCCCAGUUUUACAAACUGCAUGCUAUUUUAUGUUUUACAAAUAUAUAUGCUAUUUUAUUCCAGUAGCUAGCGUGUCGAUUGACACACCAACCCUGAUUCGCUUGUCGCCUUUUACUUGAUACCCUGAGUAGAGAUUAUAUAGUAAUCCUGAUAGAGUAGAGUUGCUUAGCCAUGCUAAAUAAUCAUUAGGAUACUUCCUAUUGCCUCUUUGGAGGAAUUGAUCGACCUUCGGGUCAAACAUACCCUUUUGAAUGUUGAUGAGCUCGUUGAGCUAGGCUGAUUAGCCGUUGUUGCUUCCUCUACUCUCUCUCUUCUACUCUGGGUGAAACUUACCAUCUAAACAUGGCGCGGGCGACAGCUGAAUCAAAUGUUGAAGGAGCGAUUGGCUGCCCUUCACAAGUUGGAGGGAGCAAUCCGUCGUUCGUGCCGCAUAAGGGUCCUAAUAAGUCUUGGAUUUGAAGAUUGUGACAACCGUACAACCACAUGCUAUAUGGGCACUGGCCUGGUUAAGUAAGUUAGUCAGCCUUAGGUGUUGAUGUCGCCGUACCGCAGAUGAGGUGGCUGCCUACGGGAGAACCUUCGGCACAGAUGGGGGGACCAGUUUGGGGACGUACUCUCAAUACCGUGCGCCAGACCCGGUGGGCAUGUCACAUCUUUGGGGGAUCUAGCUAAAAGACCUUGUCACGAUCCCUCUGCCGGUACACCAAUUGGUGUGUACUAAAUCAGCGACGGCUGGUGGGCAACAAGACGGGGUUGUGUCGUGUGGGCAAAGUG